rnacentral:lncRNA from 10 species
GACAUUCCACCACAAAAGAAGUGAAAAUGGCCAGUUCCUGCCUUAACUGAUGACAUUCCACCACAAAAGAAGUGAAAAUGGCCUGUUCCUGCCUUAACUGAUGACGUUAUCUUGUGAAAUUCCUUCUCCUGGCUCAUCCUGGCUCAAAAGCUCCCCUACUGAGCACCUUGUGUCCCCCACUCCUUCCCACCAGAGAACAACCCCCCUUUGACUGUAAUUUUCCUUUACCCACCCAAAUCUUAUAAAACGGCCCCACCCCAUCUCCCUUCCCUGACUCUCCUUUCGGACUCAGCCUGCCUGCACCAAGGUGAUUAAAAAGCUUUAUUACUCACACAAAGCCUGUUUGGUGGUCUCUUCACACGGACGCGAGUGAAACAGCUGGCUUCACCUCUCAAUGAUAGCUGCAAGAUAGAAGGCCACAUAUCUCCCAGGUGGCCUCCGUAACCCUGACAAGAUCUAUCUCUUAUGCUUACAAAGAGGGGAUACCUGUGAGGAAGAACAUGUGGUGUUUGGUUUUCGGUUCCUGUGUUAGUUUGCUGAGAAUAAUGGCUUCCAGCUUCAUCCACGUCCCUGCAAAGGAAAGGAACUCAUUUUUUAUGGCUGCAUAGCAUUCCAUGGUGUAUAUGUGCCACAUUUUCUUUAUCCAGUCUAUCAUAUGGACACAGGGAGGGGUACAUCACACACUGGGGCCUGUCGGGGGGUGGGGGGCAGGGGGAGGGAGAGCAUUAGGACAAAUACCUACUGCAUGUGGGGCUUAAAACCUAGGUGAUGGGUUGAUAGGUGUAGCAAACCACCAUGGCACAUGUGUAACUAUGUAACAAACCUGCGUGUUCUACACAUGAAUCCCAAAACUUAAAGUAAAAUGAAAAAAUAAAUAAAUAUUUUUUUAAAAAGAGGGGAUACCAUGGUUGGGUGAGGUUAUGUGAUUUCCCUGUAGUCGCAAAGUGAGUAAGCAUCAGAGGUUGGCUCGGUGUGCACCUGCUUUACAGCAUGUGUCCUUAUUUUUUCUGGAAUCUUUGGGACCACACUUGCUUAGCAGAAUAUGAUCUUCCAGAGAGAAGCAGGAAGACUGUGUGGACCCUAGACCUGACACAGCACACAAACACUUGGUUUGUGUUCAAUAUACAGGCUGGCUGAACAGGAACACUAAUGGGAAGAGGAAGGAGGCUACGAACAGCACAAUUGCAGGUUAUGUGAUCAUUUACUUUCUAUUCAAUGUCAAAUUUUGCAUAAAUUCUUUGGCUAUGCCCUGAGGUAAUUACUAUGCACAAACUACUUGCAAAUUAACUACAUAUUAAAGGGCAUAGAGCAGACAAAAGAGUUAUAUCUUACCAUAAAAGUCUGCAACCAUUUCAGUCCACCUCCCUUUUGCUGUCCAUGCAUUUUUACUCCAUCACCCCCCACCACUCUUUAUUUAAUCCAAUUUUUCUUCAGAAGAUUUUUUUCCCACCUCUCUCAAAGUUUUGCUCUUGAAUGAGGUCUCUCUGGGAAAAUGUUUCUGUAAGACUUCACUUACCAGAGUGAGUUAAUAUAAAAGAAACUUCUAUUUUAGUACUUAGAAA